ACUGGGCAUGGUGGUGCAUGCCUGUAAUCCCAGUGGCUUGGGAGGCUGAGACAGGAGGAUUGUGAGUUCAAAACUAGCCUCAGCAACUUAGGCCCUAAGCAACUCAAUAAGACCCUGUCUCUA
rnacentral:sRNA from 1 species